AGGCUGUUCCUCUGGAAAGUGGGAGGAAGCACUGUCUUGUCGCUCAGAUCUGCUCCUGACCUUUGUUUUUAUCUCUGCAUCUCACCCCUGAAGCUAACAUAAAGUGCAACAGAAGCCAGAUCUACUUGAACAAGCCCACACAGAAGUCAGAAGGCUUCCCUGCAGAGCUGACCACGGCUCACGCAGACUUCCCUCAGGAAAGGAAACCAAGGAGAUCGCCUUUCAUUUACAGUUUCUCAAGAACCAGAAGAUUGACCGUAAAUGAACACCAGGCUUGUAUGAGUACAAAGAAGGAGGCAAGAGAAAAUAAGAAUGACAAUGAAAAUGCCUCAAAGACACUAGUGGGAGCCCAUCACUGCUUCUCUGGGAGACCCGCACAGCUUACUAGUGCAAAAAGGAAAGCAGCCAAUGAUCUUGGAUGUCCCAUCUGAGACAUCUGACUUCCAGAAGAGAAUGUCAGGAAUUUCCAAAGAAUCAAACCCCCAUACCCAGCAUAUGUUUUGUACUGACACCGGAAACAAAUGGUCACUUGGAAGGAGGCUUCUGUUUUCUGAACACUCCUAAAUAACUCUGAAUGUUCUGAUGAGGAAGUGAGGUGUUCACCAGAAAACUGGAAACUAUUCAGAAAUGCCAGGCACCAGAAAAGAACAUUAAAAAAAGCCAAUUUGAUAUCCAAUUGUAAAUUAAAAAAAAAAAUAAAUAAACUGCCCAAACAAACAAAAACCCCACAAAAACAACCAAAAAAACCCAUGGCAAGGCCAUCAUUAGCUCUUAAAAUAGGAAAAAUUUCCAACUCACAUGGUUCAGGAACAUGUCCCUGGCAGAACCGGGGUUAAG